rnacentral:rRNA from 1 species
GACGAACGCUGGCGGCGUGCCUAAUACAUGCAAGUAGAACGCACAGUUUAUACCGUAGCUUGCUCCACCAUAGACUGUGAGUUGCGAACGGGUGAGUAACGCGUAGGUAACCUGCCUGGUAGCGGGGGAUAACUAUUGGAAACGAUAGCUAAUACCGCAUAAUAUUGAUUAUUGCAUGAUAAUUGAUUGAAAGAUGCUAUUGCAUCACUACCAGAUGGACCUGCGUUGUAUUAGCUAGUAGGUGAGGUAACGGCUCACCUAGGCGACGAUACAUAGCCGACCUGAGAGGGUGAUCGGCCACACUGGGACUGGGACACGGCCCAGACUCCUACGGGAGGCAGCAGUAGGGAAUCUUCGGCAAUGGACGAAAGUCUGACCGAGCAACGCCGCGUGAGUGAAGAAGGUUUUCGGAUCGUAAAGCUCUGUUGUAAGAGAAGAACGGGUGUGAGAGUGGAAAGUUCACACUGUGACGGUAUCUUACCAGAAAGGGACGGCUAACUACGUG